rnacentral:ncRNA from 1 species
CAUAAACCAUUGAAUAAGAAUAGUAGGUAUAUAACAAUAACUCACAGAGAGCUAUGGAGGAUGAGAACAUAGCAGAUAUGUAUAUACCGAAUGGACUUAUGAGGGCGAACGAACAGGAUUCAAUCCUAAGUAGCAAUCGACGGCAACCGCAGUCGUUAUUAAGCGGAGCGUAUGAUAGUACGUGUGAAAGGUGGAUGCUUUUAGGCAUCAAUUUGAGUGGUACCGCAGGAUAUUUCGUCUUGUCU